rnacentral:rRNA from 1 species
CAGCAGCCGCGGGAAUACGGGGGGCGCGAGCGUUACCCGGAUUUACUGGGCGUAAAGGGCGUGUAGGCGGCCUGGGGCGUCCCAUGUGAAAGGCCACGGCUCAACCGUGGAGGAGCGUGGGAUACGCUCAGGCUAGAGGGUGGGAGAGGGUGGUGGAAUUCCCGGAGUAGCGGUGAAAUGCGCAGAUACCGGGAGGAACGCCGAUGGCGAAGGCAGCCACCUGGUCCACUUCUGACGCUGAGGCGCGAAAGCGUGGGGAGCAAACCGGAUUAGAUACCCCGGUAGUCCCUGUCUCUUAUAC